GACGAACGCUGGCGGCGUGCUUAACACAUGCAAGUCGAACGGAAAGGCCCUGCUUUUGUGGGGUGCUCGAGUGGCGAACGGGUGAGUAACACGUGAGUAACCUGCCCUUGACUUUGGGAUAACUUCAGGAAACUGGGGCUAAUACCGGAUAGGAGCUCCUGCUGCAUGGUGGGGGUUGGAAAGUUUCGGCGGUUGGGGCUGGACUCGCGGCUUAUCAGCUUGUUGGUGGGGUAGUGGCUUACCAAGGCUUUGACGGGUAGCCGGCCUGAGAGGGUGACCGGCCACAUUGGGACUGAGAUACGGCCCAGACUCCUACGGGAGGCAGCAGUGGGGAAUAUUGCACAGUGGUCGGAAGCCUGAUGCAGCAACGCCGCGUGCGGGAUGACGGCCUUCGGGUUGUAAACCGCUUUCGCCUGUGACGAAGCGUGAGUGACGGUAAUGGGUAAAGAAGCACCGGCUAACUACGUG
rnacentral:rRNA from 1 species